rnacentral:tRNA from 1 species
GGCAGCGUGGCUAAGUGGAUAGAGCCCGGGCUUCAGAGUCAGAGGUCAUGGGUUCUAAUCCCAACUCUGCCA